CAGGCAGGCAGAAUCAAGGACAGGGCAUGCAGGAUGAUCAGGCAGGCAGAAUCAAGGUCAGGGCAGGCAGGACGAUCAGGCAGGCAGAAUCAAGGUCAGGGCAGGCAGGACGAUCAGGCAGGCAGAAUCAAGGUCAGGGCAGGCAGGACGAUCAGGCAGGCAGAAUCAAGGUCAGGGCAGGCAGGACGAUCAGGCAGGCAGAAUCAAGGUCAGGGCAGGUAGGAUGAUCAGGCAGGAAGAAUCAAGGUCAGGGCAGGCAGGACGAUCAGGCAGGCAGAAUCAAGGUCAGGGCAGGCAGGAUGACCAGGCAGGCAGAAUCAAGGUCAGGGCAGGCAGGAUGACCAGGCAGGCAGAAUCAAGGUCAGGGCAGGCAGGAUGAUCAGGCAGGAGGGAAAGUAGUCCAGAGGCAGGCAG
ensembl:lncRNA